rnacentral:rRNA from 1 species
CCUACGGGCGGCAGCAGUGGGGAAUAUUGGACAAUGGGGGCAACUCUGAUCCAGCCAUGCCGCGUGUGUGAAGAAGGCCCUCGGGUUGUAAAGCACUUUCAGUGAGGAAGAACGCCUGGUGGUUAAUACCCAUCAGGAAAGACAUCACUCACAGAAGAAGCACCGGCUAACUCCGUGCCAGCAGCCGCGGUAAUACGGAGGGUGCGAGCGUUAAUCGGAAUUACUGGGCGUAAAGCGCGCGUAGGUGGCUUGAUAAGCCGGUUGUGAAAGCCCCGGGCUCAACCUGGGAACGGCAUCCGGAACUGUCAAGCUAGAGUGCAGGAGAGGAAGGUAGAAUUCCCGGUGUAGCGGUGAAGUGCGUAGAGAUCGGGAGGAAUACCAGUGGCGAAGGCGGCCUUCUGGACUGACACUGACACUGAGGUGCGAAAGCGUGGGUAGCAAACAGGAUUAGAUACCCCUGUAGUC